GCCUUCGUGGUGUAGUGGUCAACACACUCGGCUCAUAUUUGAGAGGUCCGAGGUUCGAAUCCUGGCGACAGCA